rnacentral:tRNA from 5 species
GCUGAUGUAGCUCAAUUGGUAGAGCAGCUCACUUGUAAUGAGCAGGUUACCAGUUCAAGUCUGGUCAUCAGCUCCA